rnacentral:rRNA from 1 species
CUGACGGGGGGGGACAAGCGGGUUGUUCGGAAUUACUGGGCGUUAAAGGGCCUCGAUUAGGGUACGGGCCAACUAAGUCAGACGUGAAAUCCCCUCGGCUUAACCGGGGAAACUGCGGUCUGAUACUGGAUGGCUUGAGUUUGGGAGAGGGAUGCGGAAUUCCAGGUGUAGCGGUGAAAUGCGUAGAUAUCUGGAGGAACACCGGUGGCGAAGGCGGCAUCCUGGACCAACACUGACGCUGAGUGAGCGA